GACGAACGCUGGCGGCGUGCUUAACACAUGCGAGUCGAACGGAAAGGCCCUGCUUUUGUGGGGUGCUCGAGUGGCGAACGGGUGAGUAACACGUGAGUAACCUGCCCUUGACUUUGGGAUAACUUCAGGAAACUGGGGCUAAUACCGGAUAGGAGCUCCUGCUGCAUGGUGGGGGUUGGAAAGUUUCGGCGGUUGGGGAUGGACUCGCGGCUUAUCAGCUUGUUGGUGGGGUAGUGGCUUACCAAGGCUUUGACGGGUAGCCGGCCUGAGAGGGUGACCGGCCACAUUGGGACUGAGAUACGGCCCAGACUCCUACGGGAGGCAGCAGUGGGGAAUAUUGCACAAUGGGCGGAAGCCUAAUGCAGCAACGCCGCGUGCGGGAUGACGGCCUUCGGGUUGUAAACCGCUUUCGCCUGUGACGAAGCGUGAGUGACGGUAAUGGGUAAAGAAGCACCGGCUAACUACGUG
rnacentral:rRNA from 1 species